GACGAACGCUGGCGGCGUGCUUAACACAUGCAAGUCGGACGGUUCGCACUGGAAGGUUCGCUGGAAGGUGCGGAUAGUGGCGGACGGGUGAGUAACGCGUGAGGACAUGGCACCAGGAGGGGGAUAACGUUUGGAAACGGACGCUAAGACCCCGUAAGCCGGGAGGUGAAAGUGGCGGAAGCCAGCCUGGUGAGUGACUCGCGUCCUAUCAGCUAG
rnacentral:rRNA from 1 species